rnacentral:ncRNA from 1 species
GGAUGGCGCACUGAAGUGGUGAAAGGUAUGAGGAUGUGAGAGAAGUAUGCUGCCAUUGGCAACUGCUGUGUUGCACUGACGGAGGCAGCAAGUACCCCCUUCACAGAGAUGCCGGGUAAUCUUGUUGAACUCCGUCGCGAUUGGGAUAGAGCAUUGAAAGCAUUGCUCUUCAACGAAGAAUCCCUAGUAAGUGCAAGCCAUCAGCUUGGGUUGAUUACGUCCCUGCUCUC